GAAGGUGGCAAGCGUUGUUCGGAAUCACUGGGCUUAAAGCGCGCGUAGGCGGAAGUUCAAGUGUCCUGUGAAAUCCCCCGGCUCAACCGGGGAACUGCGGGGCAAACUGGAUUUCUUGAGGCAAGUAGGGGUACAUGGAACUCUUAGUGGAGCGGUGGAAUGCGUAGAUAUUAAGAGGAACGCCAAUGGUGAAGACAGUGUACUGGGCUUGUCCUGACGCUGAGGUGCGAAAGCGUGGGGAGCGAACGGGAUUAGAUACCCCGGUAGUCCACGCCGUAAACGAUGUCUACUAGGUUGUGGAGGUUCUGACACCCUCACAGUCGAAGCAAAAGUGUUAAGUAGACCGCCUGGGGAGUACGGUCGCAAGGCUA
rnacentral:rRNA from 1 species